rnacentral:lncRNA from 1 species
AAGAAAUCCGCUCCACAGUAAGAACUGAGCCUUUUGAACCCUUCAUAGAAAGCUCAGCCGUAACCAGCAUGUUCAUUAACUCGGCCAAGGUACACUGCAUCUUAUGCAUAUGAAAGUUCAUGAUGAACUGACCAUAUGCAUCGGACAAGGACUGAAGGAUUACAUCAAUCUGAAAAUCUUUGUCUAAGAUGAUACCAAGCUUCUCAAGCUCCUCA